rnacentral:lncRNA from 1 species
AUUGCUUUUAUUUCAAAAAGUGCUCGGCUUGGGUGUUUUGUCUCAUUCAAAUGCAUCUACUAGCUAAUUUGUUUAUGUGACCAAUUGCAAGACUCACCUGGUCUUUAGGCUUUGUUCGUAAGGUCAUUAAGGUCAGUUUUUCCAAGGGUACUUCUAACUUGGGCAUUCUGUGAUGGUGAUGCAGAAGCUAUGUGAGAGCAGUCAGCUGGACUUCACAUGCAUGUGGAACAAGUAUUCAAUUCAGGAACAGAGAAGAAAUAGAAAUAUUCCAGGACUAAGUGAAGAAAAUGCAAAUUAAUAUGACCAGCAAAGGUAAGGAGUAAAGUGAAAAUUAUAUAAAACCUAGUCAACACCUUGUAUAUAUUUUAAGAAUUACAGAGUAAGGCAAAGGGGAUAAGCAAAAAUUCGUUAGGUAAUGGCAUGGGAAGAUCACAGAUGGGUGAAGGUAAUUAGAUAAUAUAAUUAUUUCUCCUUAGAUAUAACAAAUAAGGGGACAAACGGGUAUGCCCUCUGGUAAAUAUUGAUCUACAUAGUUGAUAUAGAGAAACUAUGGAAAUCACAUCAUAUUCGAAAACCAUACAUUAAAACCUCUAGACAUUUAUGAAUUUUAUUAUUUAUUUAUUUAUUUAUUUAUUUAUUUAUUUAUUUAUUUAUUUAUUUUGAGUUUUAUUUUUGAAUACUGAUGAAAGAAUACCUGAGUCUAGAAAAGAGACAAUUGAAAGAAAUUAGCGUGUACCACAUAAUAAUAAAAUCGCCUAAUUUUAUCAGAAUAUAAUUGUUUCCUGCUCUGGUCCUUGUGCUCUCCAAACAGUAGAAAUUGGGGCCAAAAGAGAAUUUCCAGGCAAGGCUUUUAUUGAGGCUGAUGCUCCAGCACAAAGGAGACAACAUAAAAGACAGGCUGCUUCAUGCUGGCUCUCAGAACAAAGGCCAGAAAGUGUUUUUAAAGAGGGUCAGUAAGGUGGGAAAGGAGUGGCAUCCAAGCAUGUAGGACAGGUAGAGAGAGAGGAAGUUGGGUGCACAGGCACAGUGGAAAGAAUUUGCAAUGUGUGUCUCAUUUGCAUGUUAAAUUUCCACUGCUGGGCAGAAUUUUUCGUAUUCUAAUGAGGGAAAGCGUCAGCAAAAUGUCAGGCCUAUGGUCCACCUUGGCCCAGACUGGUUGGUGUGGUCUUCGCCAAUCUUUGUAGUUGAGUCCCUCCUUGGGUGAGCGUUCUGCUUCUGCAUUCCUGCCAGAUAAACUACUCAAGAGGCAUUGGGUUUCGGCUCUCCAGGAAUGCUGGGUUUUACAGUUGCAAUUGAGGGGACCUCAAUCCAGCCUCUACUUUUUCUCAUAUCAACAAUGAUAUUUAUUUAGUAAGAGAGAAGGAAGCUGCAAGCCAACACGUCGAGUUUUCUUUGAUCUCAGGAGAUAGCAAGCCCGGGAUUCUGAACAGCCAGCGUUACGCAUUCCCAUCAAAUGGAUUUUAGAUACUUAUGGUCUAGACUGAGUGGCCACUAACUACGAUGUGAUUUCAGAAAAGUCACCUUUUAUCUCUAGACCUUUCUUUCUUCCUUUGUAAAAUGGGGGGAUUCAGCUGUAUUAUCUCUGAGGUACUGGUUUAGCUUUGAAAUAUUGGCUUAAAAUGCAAUUUGAAAACUCUCUGAUGCCCCUUAGUAGUAAUGGGUAUCAGGAAAAGGAGGCUUCCCACCCCCCCCACCCCCACAACAUGGAUGGGGCAUAAAAUGAAAGGAUGGAGGAAUGGUAAAGAUUUAGUUUCUGGAUGGGG